rnacentral:ncRNA from 1 species
AGACAGGCAUUGAAGAGGGAAAGUAGAUGAAUGGCGGCAUCCCAGAGAGGAAGCAGACGGUGAGAGCUUCCAUGUGCGCGUUGUUGAACCGGCCUCGGAGCUUUGUGCGAGAGAUGUGGAAAACGGCAGUGAAAACAGAUUGCCGCAGUGAAUGACUACAUUGCUAAGUACAGCGUAGAUCCGGCGUUAACGGAUAUCAGAGGAGAGUUCCCGUAAAGUGCGGGAGCUAAUUUGGGUGGUAACGCCGGCUGUCGGUCCCUUUU